UCUCCACCCCUUGCGUUGGCUCCACGUCACUCACUCCACCUCCCUUGGCUUCUCAUCUCCAAGAACACAGCAGGAACGCAGCGGCCAGAUUAUGGGCAGCCUGUUCCCCUUCCACUUCCACUCCUUUUCCCAACAAAUUAAGCCUCCGCUGCUUCAUCUUUUUGGUUCGCCUAUCAAAUCUGGCACCGGUGCGAGUCGCCGCCUCCCACGCCCACCAUUCCGCACCAAAUCGAUCACCGCCCAUCGACGAGCCGAGUGGCACAAGCAGAUGAGGAGACGGACUUGAUGUUGUUGCCGUCAUGAUCCUCCUGCCGUUCAACGCGGCGUGCCUCGUCGGCAAGCACACAGUGCCGGUUGCAGAGCUGCAGCCGUUGAGCGAAGAGGAAGGGGUCCCGCUAAUGCUAGAUGUUGUCCGCCUCUCGGGAACGCCGUGGGGGAAGGGUGCUGUCCGUCGCCCGCGGACCAUGCCGAGGAGCACCGUUGGGGAUCAGGAGGGACAACUUCAAUAUUCAAGUAACAGUAGGCUGCCAUAUACGGUUUGGGAUGACUUGUAUUUAUAUAUUCUUUUCCCUAUUUCAUAUUUGAAGAUGUCCUUCUCAUAGAUGCAUUCAGACUAUUGGAUCUACGAGGCAUCAGUAACAACGUUGAAUAUGAAGAGGUAUGUAUCUUUUAUUUACUGAAUUAUUCUGCACAUAAUCCUGACAACUGAUCAGACCACUUCAAGAUGUUUUGGGCAUACCACCAUACACUGCUAUUUGUCCAUUUAGAUGCUUAUUCUCCAGCUCUGUCAGUACUCUUUGGUUCAUUGAAGAAGUAACACGAAACCCAUUAUAUCCGCCAAGUAUAGCACGCACACUACCUUUACAAUUUGACAGUUUGGGUAGGUUAAUCAUGAAUCAAUCAGGCCUACAUCUUUUUGAUGAUGAUGUCAAACAGAUUGCGGACCAGCAGGUGCACCACAUCUAGAUGAAUGUUGCUGCGCAAGAAGCACUAAAACUAUCCAUAUGUUUAUGCUAACUUAUAUUCCAACAGACAUUCAAGGAGGCACACUUGAGCAACAAUGGGAGGAUAGAUCCUGAUGAAUGGAAAGUGUUCAGAAGUAAAAAUAUCUAACCUCGCUGAAGAACAUGACUCUCUCAUACCCAGAAUAAGGUCAUAACUAUGUCAUUCACUCUCAACAUGCGCUACCAAAUUAUUGGUAUAUGCAAUUUACGAUUUGGUCAGAGCCCACCUGUUGCAAGUGUCGGAUGAUUUUCUGCUGAUGGCAAGGUUCUAGGACGAUUCGGUGGUUCUUGCCGCAUAGUAUUAUUGCUGCUCCCAUUAAUAUACAAGUAUCUGACGAGAAAAUUUCCCGCGGGUGGCUCAAAUGGGGCUGCUGGCACCCUAUACAUGCAUACAACAGUCACACCCUGCCCUCCCUAUUUGAUCAUUCGGCUAGGUAAAUUUUGUUUCAUCCUUUGUUCAGCUUUUAAGUUCAACUAACCUAAUUUACCAUUUUUAUAGUAUCAGCAUGCAUGAGUUGAUUGGCUUAGUUUACUUUGUUUCUCCUACGGAUAGGAAAACAUCUAUGGUUUUAAGCAUGCUACCAGUUGCCUGGUACUUGGUGAGAGACCUAUGUGAUAUUAUUCUUUCAUGAAAACCUCAUUUGAACUACCUCUAUUAAGUUUGCUGCUCAAUUGAUUCUUACAAAAUGUUCCUCAGCAACGCGUGGGGAAUCAUCUAGUAUCAUUUAAAAGGAGGAGGUCAGAAAAUAAGUUCAGGAGUACAUCAUCCCAAGAACCAGGAGUUUUUGAACUAAAAAUUUGUUUUUCUAAUUCAUCAGCCACCUGGUUUGCCUCUCUGAAACAAUGUUCAAAUGAUA